GCGGGCAUAGUUCAGCGGCAGAACGUCCGGCUUACAUCCGGAGGGUCAUUGGUUCGAGUCCAGUUGCCCGCA
rnacentral:tRNA from 1 species